rnacentral:tRNA from 1 species
GGAAGUAGCUCAGUGGGAGAGCGCAUGCUCAGCAUGCAUGCGGUUCUGGGUUCAAUUCCCAGUACCUCCA